rnacentral:pre_miRNA from 15 species
UCAAAGGCUUCUGUGACCCCUUAGAGGAUGACUGAUUUCUUUUGGUGUUCAGAGUCAAUAUCAUUUUCUAGCACCAUUUGAAAUCGGUUAUAAUGAUUGGGGAAUAGCACCAUGUAACAG